GAUCAGCACCACCAGGGUAACAGUUCUAACCCCAUUAGAACAACGUAGGUUCACAGUGAAGUGUCACCUUCUCCUUAUUGAACCAUUGUGUUAAACUUUCAUUAACAAACUUUUCUGGUUUGACUUGUGACACAAAUCUUUUCCAUCUGUUCACAUUUAAAAGAAUCAAUAUGUGUAAACAGAGUCCUGGUCAAAGGUUGUAGACCCCCCCACACACACACUAAGUUCAGGCCAGAGGAAUAACCUGAAAUGGUACAAAGUUGAGCUUGGACCUGAUUUCAUAUAAACCAUAAACCUUUCCAGAGUUUGAGGUUUCAGACGAUUUCUAUUAUCUUAGAAGCUGGAUACGCCACAAGUGAAAGAUCCGAGCAAAGAGAAGGAACCUAUAGAAACUGUGUUUAUAUAAAAUCGACCUUUCAUGUCACCAAGGAGCCUGAUUGGACGACUGAGUUCAGACUGACUUGGAACAAACAAACGGUACGGGAGCCACGCCCCCGAUCCAGGUGGGGGGGAAGUGGUGGGUGUGUCCUCGGGUCAGAGACAUGACGAAGGUGUUCUCCUCGGGGCUGUGGAUGGACGCCAGGUUGGCUCCUUC